GGCCAUGAGAGAAGCAGUACCUUAUAAUGGUUCCUUGUUCAAAGCACUCAAUAUUCCUAGGAUGUGGUCUCCCAGCUGACUUCAUAACUGAAUCAUCAGUAAUUAAUUUCAUUGUUCUAUUAGGACUUUACUGAAGACUCUAAGGAGGACCUGUAUCUGUUGGGAUCCUCAGGGCAAGCCACAGAAACAAGCUUUGGAUACUAGAAGCAGAAAAUGGAGAUAUUGAAGACUAUUGUGGAGUUUACUGCUGGAGUCCAAUGGUGCGAUGUCUGCUUACUGCAACCUCUGCCUCCCGGGUUCAAGCGAUUCUCCUGUCUCAGCCUCCUGAGGAGAUGGGACUACAGGCACCCUUGGAAAUGCAAUGCUACAUCUCAAUGGGAUUUUCCAGUACAAAGAUUCUUUUCAAAUAACAUAAUUGUGGAU
rnacentral:lncRNA from 10 species